rnacentral:rRNA from 1 species
GGUUAAGUUAGAAAGGGCGCACGAUGGAUGCCUUGGCACUAGGAGCCGAUGAAGGACGGGACGAACACCGAUAUGCUUCGGGGAGCUGUAAGCAAGCUUUGAUCCGGAGAUUUCCGAAUGGGGAAACCCACCACUCGUAAUGGAGUGGUAUCCAUAUCUGAAUACAUAGGAUAUGAGAAGGCAGACCCGGGGAACUGAAACAUCUAAGUACCCGGAGGAAGAGAAAGCAAAUGCGAUUCCCUGAGUAGCGGCGAGCGAAACGGGACCAGCCCAAACCAAGAGGCUUGCCUCUUGGGGUUGUAGGACACUCUGUACGGAGUUACAAAGGAACGAGGUAGAUGAAGAGGUCUGGAAAGGCCCGCCAUAGGAGGUAACAGCCCUGUAGUCAAAACUUCGUUCUCUCCUGAGUGGAUCCUGAGUACGGCGGAACACGUGAAAUUCCGUCGGAAUCCGGGAGGACCAUCUCCCAAGGCUAAAUACUCCCUAGUGACCGAUAGUGAACCAGUACCGUGAGGGAAAGGUGAAAAGCACCCCGGAAGGGGAGUGAAAGAGAUCCUGAAACCGUGUGCCUACAAGUAGUCAGAGCCCGUUAACGGGUGAUGGCGUGCCUUUUGUAGAAUGAACCGGCGAGUUACGAUCCCGUGCAAGGUUAAGCAGAAGAUGCGGAGCCGCAGCGAAAGCGAGUCUGAAUAGGGCGAAUUGAGUACGUGGUCGUAGACCCGAAACCAGGUGAUCUACCCAUGUCCAGGGUGAAGUUCAGGUAACACUGAAUGGAGGCCCGAACCCACGCACGUUGAAAAGUGCGGGGAUGAGGUGUGGGUAGGGGUGAAAUGCCAAUCGAACCUGGAGAUAGCUGGUUCUCUCCGAAAUAGCUUUAGGGCUAGCCUCAAGGUAAGAGUCUCGGAGGUAGAGCACUGAUUGGACUAGGGGCCCCUACCGGGUUACCGAAUUCAGUCAAACUCCGAAUGCCGAUGACUUAUCCUUGGGAGUCAGACUGCGAGUGAUAAGAUCCGUAGUCGAAAGGGAAACAGCCCAGACCGCCAGCUAAGGUCCCAAAGUAUACGUUAAGUGGAAAAGGAUGUGGAGUUGCUUAGACAACCAGGAUGUUGGCUUAGAAGCAGCCACCAUUUAAAGAGUGCGUAAUAGCUCACUGGUCGAGUGACUCUGCGCCGAAAAUGUACCGGGGCUAAACGUAUCACCGAAGCUGCGGACUGUUCUUCGAACAGUGGUAGGAGAGCGUUCUAAGGGCUGUGAAGCAAGACCGGAAGGACUUGUGGAGCGCUUAGAAGUGAGAAUGCCGGUAUGAGUAGCGAAAGAGGGGUGAGAAUCCCCUCCACCGAAUGCCUAAGGUUUCCUGAGGAAGGCUCGUCCGCUCAGGGUUAGUCGGGACCUAAGCCGAGGCCGAAAGGCGUAGGCGAUGGAUAACAGGUUGAUAUUCCUGUACCACCUCCUCACCAUUUGAGCAAUGGGGGGACGCAGGAGGAUAGGGUAAGCGCGGUAUUGGAUAUCCGCGUCCAAGCAGUUAGGCUGGGAAAUAGGCAAAUCCGUUUCCCGUGAAGGCUGAGCUGUGAUGGCGAGCGAAUUAUAGUAGCGAAGUUCCUGAUUCCACACUGCCAAGAAAAGCCUCUAGCGAGGUGAGAGGUGCCCGUACCGCAAACCGACACAGGUAGGCGAGGAGAGAAUCCUAAGGUGAUCGAGAGAACUCUCGUUAAGGAACUCGGCAAAAUGACCCCGUAACUUCGGGAGAAGGGGUGCUCUGUUAGGGUGCAAGCCCGAGAGAGCCGCAGUGAAUAGGCCCAGGCGACUGUUUAGCAAAAACACAGGUCUCUGCGAAGCCGUAAGGCGAAGUAUAGGGGCUGACGCCUGCCCGGUGCUGGAAGGUUAAGAGGAGCGCUUAGCGUAAGCGAAGGUGCGAAUUGAAGCCCCAGUAAACGGCGGCCGUAACUAUAACGGUCCUAAGGUAGCGAAAUUCCUUGUCGGGUAAGUUCCGACCCGCACGAAAGGCGCAACGAUCUGGGCACUGUCUCAACGAGAGACUCGGUGAAAUUAUAGUACCUGUGAAGAUGCAGGUUACCCGCGACAGGACGGAAAGACCCCGUGGAGCUUUACUGCAGCCUGAUAUUGAAUGUUGGUACAGCUUGUACAGGAUAGGUAGGAGCCUUGGAAACCGGAGCGCCAGCUUCGGUGGAGGCAUCGGUGGGAUACUACCCUGGCUGUAUUGACCUUCUAACCCGCCGCCCUUAUCGGGCGGGGAGACAGUGUCAGGUGGGCAGUUUGACUGGGGCGGUCGCCUCCUAAAAGGUAACGGAGGCGCCCAAAGGUUCCCUCAGAAUGGUUGGAAAUCAUUCGCAGAGUGUAAAGGCACAAGGGAGCUUGACUGCGAGACCUACAAGUCGAGCAGGGACGAAAGUCGGGCUUAGUGAUCCGGUGGUUCCGCAUGGAAGGGCCAUCGCUCAACGGAUAAAAGCUACCCCGGGGAUAACAGGCUUAUCUCCCCCAAGAGUCCACAUCGACGGGGAGGUUUGGCACCUCGAUGUCGGCUCAUCGCAUCCUGGGGCUGUAGUCGGUCCCAAGGGUUGGGCUGUUCGCCCAUUAAAGCGGUACGCGAGCUGGGUUCAGAACGUCGUGAGACAGUUCGGUCCCUAUCCGUCGCGGGCGCAGGAAAUUUGAGAGGAGCUGUCCUUAGUACGAGAGGACCGGGAUGGACGCACCGCUGGUGUACCAGUUGUUCUGCCAAGGGCAUCGCUGGGUAGCUAUGUGCGGACGGGAUAAGUGCUGAAAGCAUCUAAGCAUGAAGCCCCCCUCAAGAUGAGAUUUCCCAUUCCGCAAGGAAGUAAGAUCCCUGAAAGAUGAUCAGGUUGAUAGGUCUGAGGUGGAAGUGUGGCGACACAUGGAGCUGACAGAUACUAAUCGAUCGAGGACUUAACCAA